UCAAAAAUCUUUUUUGUUUUAAUGCAUCCCUGGCCUUUUUGCAGCGUUUUAAAGUCAGCUGUUUGAUAAGCUACAAUCGAUAGUAAAAAACGCGGGAAACUGUUUGUUUACUUUGCGAGCUUACCAAAUUGAAACUAAGUUCAAAAACUGAAAUCAAAGUAGAGAAUACUUAACCAAUGUGCCCGUCUCUUAUGGUCAAUAACUAAUUUUGUGGGCAAUUGUGCGAGAAAGUAAUUAUGUGAGGCGGGGUUCACUUAUGAAAAGCUGCUCAGUAUUUACAUUGUACAUUGAGAAUAAUCGAAGCGCCGCAGCACUUUCGAGUUGGAUUUUUGAAGAACUGAAGGCAUACAAUAUAAGCACGGAGAAAAAGGAUGAAAUAAAUAAUAAAGUAAGGAGCUUUUAUCUACACGUCCAAAAGUAUUUGGCAAAAUGCGGGAGAAGCAUGUCUAAAUUUAAGAAAAAGCAUAACUCAUUGUUUUUUCUCCAAGAUGGUUAUCAAAGUUGAAAGAACGUCGUCAUCGAAUUCCAUGACUUCAACAUCAAGAUCAGUUGGACGCCCACCAAUUGAAUAUAUAAAUGCUGGACCCCGUUUGAAGAGAAAAUUAGCAUCAGAUUUAGCUGGCGAUCAAGGUCACAACACAUCUCUUCUUGUGCAUGCUGCUGCUCUUUCGGCUGAAAAAUCCAAAGAAAAGACAAAAAAAAGGCACUGCAGUGCUUUACCUAAAAAAUUAAUUAGAAAUAGAAAAUUAAAGAAAUUUCUUGCUACACAGUAAAAACUCUCCUUGCAACUCUCAAAGGAAACACAAAAUAUAGUCGAAGCUAUCUUGUAAAGCGUCGCUGGCUGUGUCUUUUUAAUUUCUUCUAAUUUGCUGCAGGAGACGGCGAGCCGGAUGGACUGCGUGAUCCGGACCUGGAUCUGCUGCCAGAUCGAGAGCGCGAUCGAGACCCUGACCUUGACCUUGAGCCAGACUUUGAACGGGAACGGGAGCGAGAACGAGAGCCAGAUUUGGAGCGUGAUCGAGAACGGGAUCGGGAGCCGGACUUAGAGCGGGACCUUGGAGCGGGAGCGUGAUUUGGCACUUACCUUCGGCUUUACCUUAUGCUUUUGUUUUAAUAUAUUUUCAGACAUAUCCAAUACGGCUCCAAUUAAUCGGGCCAAAUAAUUCUGGUAAUGCAAUGAAACAUAUUAAACCACCUAAAAAUUAUCGAAAACCAGCAGGACAUGAACAAAAAAAUUGAAACCAUUAUUGGUAAAGUUGAUCGACAGGGGGCGGAACUUAUUUCGUUGCGUAGUGAAGUUGCAUAAAUAAAGGCUCGAGUGUGCGGAGAGCCUAACAUCGUUAAAUUGACAGUGCCACGAUCGCCACUGGCCAGUCUAGAGGGCUUUGAAGCAUUUGAAGAUUCUCUUGAAGAAGAGCACGUUUUCAAUAACUUGGUAAGGAAUUUGUGUAAAUCUUUUGAUAAAUCUCAUUUUUUUCAGACUGUUAAGAAAAACCCGACCACGAAAAAGGAAGUGCAGUACAGACUUUAACAGCACUACAGCAAAGGGUUAGCCAGGACGAAUGUCAGCUAUAGGCAAGGAAGAACAAGAACAAAAAGAAAGGCAGCGGCGAAAAGUAAAACUGAAACGGUACAAGUUUUUUAGCUAGUUUCUCCCUCCUAUUUAAUACCCUGCCCAGGAGACCCUUCUGGACCCCCCAGAAAAUUGACCAAACUAGGCUGACUCCAAAAUCACAGGUGAAAUACCUAGGCACAGUACUGGACAGCAAGCUGGCAUGGAGACCCAAUGUAGUGGAGAGUGUGAAGAAGGCCACCAUUGCGCUUUAUGCAUCCAAGAAGAUGCUCAGCAGCACAUGGGGCCUGUCACCUACUCUAAUGCACUGGAUCUACAUCUCGGUGGUGCGACCAACUAUGCUGUAUGGAGCCUAAGUGUGGUGGCAAGCUACUGAAAGGAAGACAUACCAUAAGCUUAUGGAAAAGACUCAGCGACAGGCUCUGCUUUGGAUUACAGGGGCGCUGAGGUCAACCCCAACAAAGGCACUCGAAACUGUACUCGGAAUCGAGCCCCUGGAUAUUCACGCUCGCCUGAUUGCGGGAAAGGCAGCACAGUGCCUAAUCGCAUCAGGAAAUAUGUCGCCACAAGGAUACGGGCACAGUUCAAUUGGCAGGGACAUGACCAGAUCCACUGAUUACAUGAUCCCCCAAACUUGCCUCGACACCAAAAAUAGCUCAUCUCUGGGACCCGAAGACUGGAAGACGGGAAGGGACCAAGUUAAGCACCUCAACAUAUAUACGGAAGGCCCCAAGAUGGACGGAGGAGUAGGAGCGGGCUUAUUCUGCACAGACCCUGAAAUAAGGCUGUCGUAUAAGCUACCGGACCGACGCAGCAUAUUUCAGGCGGAAGUUUUCGCCAUCAGGAAAACAGCAGAGGUCGCUCAGCUUAUAGAGCGAGCACACGAUGCGGCCAAUUUAUUCGUCGACAGCCAAGCGGCAAUCAGAUUCAUGCAGGCGUCCGCGGUCGACGAGGACCAAUGCAAUGGCGGCGACAGCUGCUAGCGAGUGUCACGAGAUCGGUGAUGCUAUAUGCGGCGCCAAUCGGGGCAAAGGCCCUUCAAACAGCGAGCUACGCACGGGGUCUGGCAGCCACGCACCACCUCUCUUUGAUUCGGAUCACCAGUGCCCUCCGAACGGUCUCGGACGAGGCAGCACACGUUUUCGCGGGUAUAGCACCCCUGGAAUUCCUGGCGGAGGAACGGUCCACCUUCUACCAGGAAAGCAGAGGAAUGGACGUGGCUGGGAAAAGGCAGGUACGCAUGGCGUGCAAACAGGAGAGCCUCAGAAGGUGGCAAAAGCGCUGGGACACGACCACUAAGGGGCGUUGGACCCACCAGCUUAUCCCGUCCAUCGACGCGUGGGUAAACAGGAAGCACGGGCAGGUCAACUUUUACCUGUCUUAGCUCCUCAGUGGGCACGGCUGCUUCCGAAGCCUUCAUUGCUUCGGGCAUGCGGACUCCGCAGAAUGCUCUUGGCGCGGGCACUACGUGGCGUUACGCCGAACAUGCAAUAUUUUCGUGUGGCAGGUUCGCAGCGCAGCGCCAGCGGCUAGAAGAAGCGCUGGGUGGGGCCGUAGCCAAGCAGAACUUGGUGCCGUGCAUGCUCCUGUCCUCGGAAGACUGGGAGGCGACGAGCAACUUCGCGGCGACCAUUAUGAGGGAACUGCGCGCUGUUGAGCGCCAGACAAGAGUCCAGUUAGACUAACCGAAGCCUGCACAUGUGUGAAUCAUUGCUACACGGCCGUACCACACAUGUUGGGCUUGCAUAGCCUAACUUAUAAUAUAGUUUGCUUUAAGUACAAAAGAACGUGCCUGUCUCCCUUUGAACGCUGCAAAGCGAUCUAGAGAAGCAGGCUAGAUCACACUAGCCACUACCUACUACGUAUAUGUUAAUUGUUUUGUAUUGUCAAAAAAAAAAAAGAAAAGAAAACACAUUGGUUUGUGUUCGUCUUGUGUGGAAUAAAAACUAACUUUCUGCGUGUUUGUGCGUUAUGUAAUAUCAGCUUGAGUUCUGUCAUGCAACGCUGCUGGACGUAUGGAUCGACAACGGCCGCAACUACCGCCCUUGCAAACUGGAUAGUUGGCCAAUUGACGGAAUGUUCACUAACCAAUGAAAACAUUAGUGAAAUUAACAAGAAAGUUAAAAGCCUUGCAAUUUAUAUUUCUUCGAAUCGAAUGCAAAAGGGCAACCGAAAUAUGCGCACAUUUAGAAAAAAAAACAUUCACAGUGGCUAUCAAUGCGCUUAAAAAUUGUUUUGGAAAAUAAAGAAAAGACGUACAGUCUUCAAUUGGGUAGACCAAGGCUAACUUAUGAUGAAGCAGGGCCCCGCCAAAAACGAAAACUAGCUGCCGAUGUAGCAAUCAGUAAUAAAAACGAUACCAGUCUUUUGAUUUAUGCAGCAACAAUGUCAGCCAGGAAAUCAUAUGCAAAUGAUACUGCAUUUUUACUUAAAAAUGUUAGCACUUCUGAAAGCGAAGCUACUGAAGCUAAAAGAAAGCUCGAUAUUGUAGAACCAAUACCUUUAACAACAAAUGAUGCUUUGGAAUUCUUGCUGGAAAAUUCUUUAAGCAAACGAUUAUAUAAUGAAAUUCGUCAAAUAAGCAAACAGCAUAAUUGUGACAUAUACCCAAGCUACCAAAAUGUCCAGGAAGCCAAAUUGCAAUUGAGACCUGCGGGAAUAACUGCUACAGAAACUAUGGCAAAAGUUGCCUUGCAACAUUUGUUAAACCACACUGCCAGCCGCAUAAUAUUGUUACAGGAAGAGUUAUUCGCUAACUUUGAAAACGUUUCUAGUAUUACAUUAAUUGCGAGUUACGGAUACAAUGGAUCAAUUGGGCAAAGUAUGUAUAAAAAAAGAUUUGAAACGAAGGAACCGGAUACUUUUUAUCAAUCUUUGUUUGUUACUACCCUUAUACCUCUGAAGCUUAUCGAUGAAGCAGGAACAAUUUUUUGGGAUAAUAGAACUCCGCAGUCUGUAAGAUUUUGCCGACCACUCAAAAUGGAAUUCGCCAAAGAAACAAAAGAUCAUAUUCUUGCAGAAAAAAACGAUUUGGACACACAAAUGAAAAACUUGACUACUUGAGUAGUAACAAUUUCAAAUGAAAAGAAGAUCACUGUCUCAUACGACCUUCACAUGACUCUUAUAGAUGGGAAAGUUUUAAACGUUUUAACGGGUACAAAAUCUUGCCAAUUGUGUUCAAUAUGUGGUGCAGGCCCAAAACAAUUUAUGGAAACUUAUGAUAUAAAUUCCUUUAAGCCAAAUCCUCGGCGUCUUCAUUAUGGGAUAAGUCCACUUCAUGCUUGGAUACGCAUUUUUGAAUUGCUGCUUAAAAUAUCAUAUAGAAUGGGGUUUAAAAAAUGGAAAGUGAGAAACGAAAAUGACAAAUUGGAGAUGAUUGCCAAAAAAAAAAAACAUAUACAAAGAAGAUUGUGGCAAGAAAUAGGAUUGCAUGUGGAUAAGCCAAAACAGAAUGGAAGCGGAAAUUCGAACGAUGGCAACACUGCGAGAAAAGCUUUUUCAAAUACGAAAUUAUUCGCAUCAAUUUUAGAACUCGAUUUGGAGUUACUUGAGAGUCUGCAUACUAUUUUAAUAGCUAUUAACUGCGAAUUUGCAAUCGACGCUUUAAAAUUUCAAAAUUUCUCAGAUAAAACCAUUAGAUCAUACAUGUUGCAUUACUCUUGGUAUCCUAUGUCACCAACUCUCCAUAAAAUUUUAGUUCAUGGAUCACAAAUAACUGCAUCUGUGAUGCCGGUAGGCUGUCUUGGGGAAAAUGCGUCUGAAGCAAAAAAUAAAUUUUACAAGCGUGACCGGCUAAUGCACGCUCGACACAAUUCGCGGGUAAAUAAUAUGAUGGAUAUAUUCCAAAGUCCAAAGAUCUUUGGACUCUUCAGAUCCCCUCAUCUCAAGUAUAUCCAUUAAGAAGAGGGCAGCUCGACAUAAAAAACAAACCCUUCCGCGAGAUGUCAUUGAGCUUUUAGAAACACCCCAUUGUAAUUUUCCAAAAAAUAUUCAGCCUUUAGCUAAUGACUACAGUUUCGAUUAUGACUCGAAUGAGUCGGAAUUAGAGGAUAUAAAUCCAUAUUCGUUUGAAUUAUCUGUACAAAACAACUAAAUGAUAAUUUAAUAUCAAUUCUUAGAAAUAGUUAAAUAGUAGAAUAAGAAUUUGAUCAUAAUAAGAAUUGUUUAUCAAAAAAUUUGUUUUAUAUUUUUAUAUUUACCACUAUUACAUCAAAAUUACAACAGAAUAAUAAAUUCCCUUAAAAUUGUAGUACUUUUUUAUAGCAUGACUUUCCUUUGUGAUCACGUAUAAGCCUUGUUGCCAAAUAUGGGCUAUUGCGGUAGGCGUGGUCAGAUGAACUUAAAAAUUUGUUCAAAUAUUUAGAGUGCUAUAUUUAUUAAACACACCAAGUUUCAGCUCGAUAUCUGCAUUAUUCGACUUUAUGCCACUUAUUUGGGAAUGCCGCCCCAGUGCUGGCAUCACUGGAAGAUGCCUCCAAGAGGACGCCACAGGAACUGCUUGCCUAUACUAAAAGCACCUCGACUCUCGGGGACUUUAAAACAACCUAAACACUCCCGCGAUGCUUCAUACCAACUAAUAAUAACUAUAUAUUUACAGAUAUUUCUUCCGACACCAAAGUGGAAGGUGCAGGCGAUAGCUUUGAAAAGUUUUCGCGAAUUAUUUUCAUUUGUGUGGCCCGAAAUUUGUAAUUAAGAGCUUCGCAUUUUAGUGCGCUGCAGCGUUUUAUAGUUUUCAGAUAAAAUAUCGAUGUUUUUUUUCUUAGUAUCGAUAUAUCGAAAAUGUGAGCAUACUUUGCGUUUGCGUUGGAUGGGUAAAUUUAUCAAAUUAAGCAAACAAAUUUUAAUAAUAUGAUUCUGUUGAUUUGAUUUUGUUGAAAAGCAAGAAUGGAUAAAUUUGCAGUCAAAAAACGCACGGCAGUGACUCCGAUGAGGAGAACAAGAACGUGGGAACCCCAAAAAAGUCGAAGGUGUGGAUGUUUUUCGACAAUUCAAACGAUGGCGGUAAUGCGGUAUGCAGAAAAUGCGGUAAAGUUUGCAAAACCAGUGGAAACACCACAAAUUUGCAAAAUCACCUCACCUGCAUGCAUCCAUCGCUGCAAGAGAGUGAACUACCCACUACCUCUGGUAGCAAUUAUGUUAUAUUAAUGAAUAUACGGUUUUCAGAACGCUAACAACGACGUGGAACUUCAAACGCUGGCGAAAAAAUAUUUAUGUAUUCCCACAACGUCUACUGAAAGCGAGCGUAUGUUUAGCAAAGUUGGAUUGAUUGCUAAUUCAAGACGAGCUUCCUUAAAGCCAGAAACUUUGAAUGGGCUUACUUUUCUCAAUAUAGUCGUUGAAGGAUCUCAACCAAACUGCCAUGGAGGCAAUUGUUUUUUAAUUUAAUUUUAGGCUAACUAACUCGUUUGAAAACUGUUAUUAUUUUUUAGUUUUAAGUUUUAAAGACCGAAAUGAAGUAUAAUUUUGGUGUAAUCUCUAAAAAGUUGUUUGUU